UUGCCCGUAGUUUAAAAAAUAUUGACAUUGGAAGUCAAAGUUCAAGAUUAAUUUUUGUUCUUGCGGGUGAA
rnacentral:tRNA from 1 species